rnacentral:rRNA from 1 species
ACGCUAGCGGCGCGCUUAACGCAUGCAAGUCGAGCGAUGAGGCUCCCUUCGGGGAGUCAUCAGCGGCAGACGGGUGAGUAACACGUAGGUAACCUGCCCUCAAGACGGGGAUAACGCCUGGAAACGGGCGCUAAUACCGGAUGACCUUAGUUGGGGAAGAUCCGAUUAAGGAAAGGCUAUGGCGCUUGAGGAGGGGCCUGCGGCCCAUCAGUUAGUUGGUAGGGUAACGGCCUACCUAGGCGAAGACGGGUAGGGGGUGUGAGAGCACGGNCCCCCACACUGGGACUGAGACACGGCCCAGACUCCUACGGGAGGCAGCAGCGGGGAAUAUUGCGCAAUGGACGGAAGUCAGACGCAGCGACGCCGCGUGGGUGAAGAAGGCCUUCGGGUUGUAAAGCCCUUUUCUGAGGGAAGAGAAAGGACGGUACCUUAGGAAUAAGCGUCGGCUAACUACGUGCCAGCAGCCGCGGUAAGACGUAGGACGCGAGCGUUAUCCGGAUUUACUGGGCGUAAAGCGUGUGUAGGCGGCGUGACAAGUUGGGCGUGAAAGCCCCGUGCUCAACGCGGGGAGGCCGCACAAUACUGUCAGGCUAGAGGGCACCAGAGGGGUGUGGAAUUCCCGGAGUAGCGGUAAAAUGCGCAGAUAUCGGGAGGAACACCGGUGACGAAAGCGGCACCCUGGGGUGCGCCUGACGCUGAGAGACGACAGCUAGGGGAGCGAACAGGAUUAGAGACCCUGGUAGUCCUAGCCGUAAACGAUGGAUGCUAGGUGUAGGAGUGACGAGCUUCUGUGCCGCAGCGAACGCGAUAAGCAAACCGGCUGGGGAGUCCGGCCUGCAGGGUUACAACUCAAACGACUUGACGGGGACCCGUACAAGCAAGCGGAGCGUGUGGCUUAAGUUCGAUGCUACCCG